UGGGUGAUCUUUUUUCCCUCCGUUCGACCUCCGUUUGCUUGUUUUUCGCCCCGAUUUCAACUCUGAUCCUAUUUUUAUGUGAAUUAGGACCUAUCAAGGAAAUUCCAGAAUUUUUGAACCUUUUCCGGCAAAUAAUUCGAGCUUGGGAAGGCACGCGUCAACCAAGUACCAGUCGAUACGGGGAGGUGUUCGAGAGCUGUGCAGUCACAGAGGGGUGUCGAUCCGGAGCGUCAGUCCUUGGUCGGUCUUUUAGAGUCCUUUGUUCGUUUUCAUAUUUAGAGUCUUUUGUAUUUUUCUUCAUAAUUGUAUUUUCCAUUUGAAAUAUUUGAUUUUAAUUUUGUAUUUCAUUUUUACAUUUGCAAUUUCCUUUGUAAUAUUUUCGAAACAAAUCUUCUUUCUCUUUUGUUUUAAUUGAAUGGUAUUUUUAUCCUUUUA